rnacentral:rRNA from 1 species
UUGUGCCAGCAGCCGCGGUAAUACGAAGGGGGCUAGCGUUGCUCGGAAUCACUGGGCGUAAAGGGCGCGUAGGCGGCCAUUUAAGUCGGGGGUGAAAGCCUGUGGCUCAACCACAGAAUUGCCUUCGAUACUGGGUGGCUUGAGUCCGGAAGAGGUUGGUGGAACUGCGAGUGUAGAGGUGAAAUUCGUAGAUAUUCGCAAGAACACCGGUGGCGAAGGCGGCCAACUGGUCCGGAACUGACGCUGAGGCGCGAAAGCGUGGGGA